UGGCCGGGCUGGUGCUGUGGUGGCGCCGGGUCCGCCAGCGGCGGGCCAGGAACUCCCCGGCGUGGCUGCUCGCUCCCGAUCGCUCGCGGCCCGGCCGG
rnacentral:tRNA from 1 species